UACAGAGGGUGCAAGCGUUAAUCGGAUUUACUGGGCGUAAAGGGCGCGUAGGCGGUUAUUUAAGUUUGAUGUGAAAUCCCUGGGCUUAACCUAGGAACUGCAUUGAAUACUGGGUAACUUGAGUAUUGUAGAGGGUAGUGGAAUUUCCGGUGUAGCGGUGAAAUGCGUAGAGAUCGGAAGGAACACCAGUGGCGAAGGCGGCUACCUGGACAAAUACUGACGCUGAGGCGCGAGAGCGUGGGGAGCAAACAGG
rnacentral:rRNA from 1 species